rnacentral:rRNA from 1 species
UGAACAGGGAAAAGCUCAAAGUUGGAACCUCCUGGCCCUAGGCCUGGCGGAUUGUAAACUAAAGCUUUCGAGUAGCUCGGCUAGCCCAGUAAAUAAGUUCUCUGGAAAGGGACGACAAAGAGGGUGAAAUCCCCGUUUUUGGCUGGAGCAUAGUCCUGCGUUUGCUUGGAAGUGAAGAGUCAGGUUGUUUGGUAUUGCAGCCUAAAGCUGGAGGUAAAUCUCUCCUAAAGCUAAAUAUUGACGAAAGACCGAUAGCGAACAAGUACCGUGAGGGAAAGAUGAAAAGCACCUUGAAAAGGGGGUCAAAAAGUACGUGAAAUUGCUGAAAGGGAACCGUAUGAAAUCAGCCUGUCUCUUUGGUAAUCAGCCUGGACUUUGGUCUGGGUGCACUUGCCAGUGAGUCAGCCUACGACAAUUUGACCUGGGGGAAAAAAUCAGGGGGAAUGUGGCCUCGGCUUCGGUUGAGGUGUUAUAGCCCCUUGAAAAAUACUCUGGGUUGGAUUGAGGACUGCAGCGAGCCUUCUGGGAUGAACUGUGGGUGCUUGGUCGUAGCUAGGAAGAAAUCUCUAUCUCUGGUAGUGUCUUUUUAGCUGUGGUCAACUCGCCUACUUUUUCUUUUUCUCGCUUAGGUCGUAGGCAUAAUGAUUUUAUAUGACC